UGCAUCGGCCGGGAAUCGAACCCGGGCCGCCCGUGUGGCAGGCGAGCAUUCUACCACUUAACCACCGAUGC
rnacentral:tRNA from 1 species